rnacentral:rRNA from 1 species
AUUGAACGCUGGCGGCAUGCCUUACACAUGCAAGUCGAACGGUAACAGGUUAAGCUGACGAGUGGCGAACGGGUGAGUAAUAUAUCGGAACGUGCCCAGUCGUGGGGGAUAACGUAGCGAAAGCUACGCUAAUACCGCAUACGAUCUACGGAUGAAAGCGGGGGAUCGCAAGACCUCGCGCGAUUGGAGCGGCCGAUAUCAGAUUAGGUUGUUGGUGAGGUAAAAGCUCACCAAGCCUGCGAUCUGUAGCUGGUCUGAGAGGACGACCAGCCACACUGAAACUGAGACACGGUCCAGACUCCUAAGGGAGGCAGCAGUGGGGAAUUUUGGACAAUGGACGCAAGUCUGAUCCAGCAAUGCCGCGUGCAGGACGAAGGCCUUCGGGUUGUAAACUGCUUUUGUACGGAACGAAACGGUGAGCUCUAAUACAGUUUGCUAAUGACGGUACCGUAAGAAUAAGCACCGGCUAACUACGUGCCAGCCGCCGCGGUAA